rnacentral:rRNA from 1 species
CCUACGGGAGGCAGCAGUGGGGAAUUUUGGACAAUGGGGGAAACCCUGAUCCAGCCAUUCCGCGUGUGCGAUGAAGGCCUUCGGGUUGUAAAGCACUUUUGGCAGGAAAGAAAUCGCACAGAUUAAUACUUUGUGUGGAUGACGGUACCUGCAGAAUAAGCACCGGCUAACUACGUGCCAGCAGCCGCGGUAAUACGUAGGGUGCAAGCGUUAAUCGGAAUUACUGGGCGUAAAGCGUGCGCAGGCGGUUCGGAAAGAGAGGUGUGAAAUCCCAGGGCUUAACCUUGGAACUGCACUUUUAACUCCCGAGCUAGAGUAUGUCAGAGGGGGGUGGAAUUCCGCGUGUAGCAGUGAAAUGCGUAGAUAUGCGGAGGAACACCGAUGGCGAAGGCAGCCCCCUGGGAUGAUACUGACGCUCAUGCACGAAAGCGUGGGGAGCAAACAGGAUUAGAUACCCUGGUAGUCCACGCCCUAAACGAUGUCAACUAGCUGUUGGGGGCUUCGGCCCUUAGUAGCGCAGCUAACGCGUGAAGUUGACCGCCUGGGGAGUACGGUCGCAAGAUUAAAACUUAAAUGAAAUUGACGG